rnacentral:rRNA from 1 species
AUGCAACGUUAUGGAUACCAUGACCGAUCACCAUCGAGAAAGAAGAAUUUUGAUAAAUCACUUCGGGUGAGCGGGGCCUUCAAGCGGCCUCAAUACGCCGGGGUUGUAAAUGACAUACCUUUCCUUAUGGGAAAUGCCGCCUCCUUACUAAAAAGGAAUAGAAUCAAGUUAUUUUUACCAAAGAAGUCCCGCUCUGACGGCCCGACGAGUCAUCUACUAAAAAGGACCCUCCCCGCUGUGCGCCCCUCCUUGAAUUAUUCGGUCAUGCAAUACUUUUUUAAUACUAAGAAUAAAAUGCAUUUCGACCCCGUCCUAGUUCUCAAUCAUUUCGUGGCACCGGGUGUGGCUGAACCAUCUACGACGGGGGGAGCGAAGGGAGAAAGCUUAGAUAAGAGAAUACGCUCUCGCAUCGCUUUUUUUAGAAAGCUCUACCAGCGAGAAAAAGUGUUUGGCCCGAGCCAAAAAGAGGUUGAUCCACUUCAUUCGCCAAGCGAAUGA